UAAAGUUGUUGCAGUUAAAAAGAUCGUAGUUGAAUUUCGGGGUUAGCAGGUCGGUCGUGCCAAUGGUAAGCACUGGCUCGCUGACUCCUCCUUCUUGUAGAACCGUAAUGCCAUUAAUUUGGUGUUGCGGGGAAACAGGACUGUUACUUUGAAAAAAUUAGAGUGUUUAAAGCAGGCUAGCGCCUGAAUACAUUAGCAUGGAAUAAUGAAAUAGGACGUUCUAACCGAUUUUGUUGGUUUCUAAGAUUGUCGUAAUGAUUAAUAGGG
rnacentral:rRNA from 1 species